UACUGUAAAUGAUCAGUGACUCAGGUUAACACUAAACUUUAAACAGUCCCUCUGUGUCUCUGUGUGUGCUGAACAUUUAGGAUUGAGUCAGGCUGCAUUGACUGUGGGACUUUAAUGUGUUAAAAGCAGGUUGAAGACGGCUCAGAAACAUUUGAAGAUUAAAAUUUAGCAUUAUGGCUGCUCGUGGUGUGUAAAGCCUCUACUCAGCUGUAUUUUUGUUACUAAUUUAUGUUUGUUGUUGUUUAACACAGAUUUCAGAAGAGCAAAGAUGAGCACUGUUGCUUAAUCCUUAAUAGUUUAAGUGGAUUGGAAAUAAAAAAAUUCCAGAUUUUUCUUCCACAGAAGUUUCAUUCGUCAGUGUGAAGAGGGAGCUGCAGUGAGGACACAGCCUGGUCACUGAGGUCAGAGGAGGCGCUGAAAGGUUUCCCUAAUAGUUCCUGGUGAAUCAAAGCAGGACCAUAAAGGUUGCUGGACUGCAUGAUGGCCUUACCCCUGAGCAGUCAUCCUGUUAAAGGAGGAACCAGUUAGAAGCUGUUUUCAAAGUAGCUGAGCAGAUUUCAUCUCAACAGACAAAGCUGAUGGCAGAAGAUGUUUGGAGAAGAACUUCAGGCCGUGGACUGAAAAG